UACAGAGACUGCAAGCGUUAUUCGGAUUCACUGGGCGUAAAGGGCGCGUAGGCGGCCAUUCAAGUCAGAGGUGAAAGCCCAAGGCUCAACCUUGGAACUGCCUUUGAUACUGUUUGGCUUGAGACCGGUAGAGGUAAGUGGAACUGCGAGUGUAGAGGUGAAAUUCGUAGAUAUUCGCAAGAACACCAGUGGCGAAGGCGGCUUACUGGACCGGUUCUGACGCUGAGGCGCGAAAGCGUGGGGAGCAAACAGG
rnacentral:rRNA from 1 species